rnacentral:piRNA from 1 species
CCAGGAAGUGAUGGCCUGUGGUCGGCCCCC